GUAACUUUUAGGACCUACUUCUUUUCGAUUUUUUCUCCCAUCCUUUGCAGCCACUCCUUGUACACCUUCACUGAAAUCCUUUUUGCAGCUCCUCUAGUCUGUGUUCAUCACUAUUGCACUAGAGUCACCUGAUCUGCAUGCAGCAUGCAAAAGUGCUUGCUAUGGAAAUUAUUAUCCCAUAUUUACAACCAGUGACUUACCAAUUUAAUAUAAAUAAUCUCUAAAGGUAUGGCCACAGACUCCACACUGAAUUAGUCCAUCAUUUAGUACAGCCAAUGGAGAAAGGAUAGGAGCAAUACAAGCUGGGCCUAUGUCAGUCUCAUCUCCUGUGGGUAAAAUUAAAAAAGAGAUGCAUGACGUGUUUCCCGUGGAUCAAUGGCAAGCGUAUUUCUGUUUCUGCACAGUUUUGCCCCUAGUGAACACCCUAAAACAAACUAAAUGAAAAUCCCCUCCAUGAUUUUCUUUUCCCUCUCUUCAGCAGCAGAAAGAACGAGAACCCUCUCGGUGGAGUGGCAGGAGCUGCUGGUUAAAACUGAGAGCAGAGCCCAGCCACCAGUCCCUCAUCGUGACUUAGACGGAUAAUUAGUCAGGCUUCAACCCUACUUUAUUCUUCAUCUUCCAUCACCUGAAACUUGUCCUACAAACUUUUUGUGUGGAGAUCACCAGGCAGCAGCAGCAGAAGCAUUGGGCCUGAGGGGAGCUAGGGAAAUGGUAUCAGACUGCUUAGUGGCUUGUGUGAUUUACUGUCACAUUUAUCUCACACGCUUCAGCAAGGACUUGCACAAGAAGAUUGAUUUUAGAGCCCAGCUUUUAAAGGUGGAAAACAAAUGGUUCAUUCAUAAAAACUUAUUUUUGAAACUUGUAAAGCAUCUAAGCUUUUCCAAGAAGAGCUGGUGUGGACCCCUUUACAUUCAGGAAGCAGUACACAUCAACCAUGGGAUGCCCCUGGAAAAACUGUUUCGGACAGAGCAGAUCCCACAGAAUAUUGGAUUCACUGAGGAAGAUCUUCCUGCUACAGAAUGCUUAGACAUUUCACUGGAAAGCAGAAAUGCCUCUGACAAAAGGAGAGAUGCUGUGCCAUAUGUUGACCCAAUGCUACACACAAGGAAUUCUGCUGGAGAGCCCUGGAGGUUAUCUGAUAUAAUUACACAACAUUCAAGUGCAGGAGUGCAGGAAGAAGUGAUAAAAUCAAGAACAGCUUUAAUGAGGCCAGAAAAGGAAGAAAAAUGGAGUCAACUCAGGGGAACUUCAAGGUCCUUUUGGUGCUAUUCAAGCAAAGAAAUGGGAAUACUGCUAAAACAGGAGGAGCUGGGUGGAGUCAGAAGGUUGAUUUGGAACUAG
ensembl:lncRNA